rnacentral:pre_miRNA from 1 species
GUCUUUAGAUCCUGAUCCAAAGCCCAUUGAUGUCAAUAGAAAUAUUUCUAUUGACUUCAAUGAGGUUUGGAUCAAGCACUUCGUUAAC